rnacentral:tRNA from 2 species
GGGGAGGUUCCCUAGUGGCCAACGGGGGUAGACUGUAAAUCUACUGCGGAAUGCUUCGAAGGUUCAAAUCCUUCCCUCCCCACCA